GCCUUCGGGCAUUUGGUCAAUUUGAAACGAUACAGGUGAGCAAGUCUGUGCAGCGUGUUCGAAUCCUACCGAAACUAACCUAUUAAUAGAGAAGAUUAGCAUGGCCCCUGCACUAAGGAUGACACGCUCAAUCAAAGAGAAGCUACAAGUUUUU
rnacentral:snRNA from 1 species